rnacentral:rRNA from 1 species
AACGCGUAGAAUCUGGCUUCAGGUCUGGGACAACCACUGGAAACGGUGGCUAAUACCGGAUGUGCCCUGCGGGGUGAAAGGUUAACUGCCUGAAGAUGAGCUCGCGUCUGAUUAGCUAGUAGGUGUGGUAAAGGCGCACCUAGGCGACGAUCAGUAGCUGGUCUGAGAGGACGAUCAGCCACACUGGGACUGAGACACGGCCCAGACUCCUACGGGAGGCAGCAGUGGGGAAUUUUCCGCAAUGGGCGAAAGCCUGACGGAGCAAUACCGCGUGAGGGAGGAAGGCUCUUGGGUCGUAAACCUCUUUUCUCAGGGAAGAACACAAUGACGGUACCUGAGGAAUAAGCAUCGGCUAACUCCGUGCCAGCAGCCGCGGUAAUACGGAGGAUGCAAGCGUUAUCCGGAAUGAUUGGGCGUAAAGCGUCCGCAGGUGGCGAUGUAAGUCUGCUGUUAAAGAGUGAGGCUCAACCUCAUAAGAGCAGUGGAAACUACAUAGCUAGAGUACGUUCGGGGCAGAGGGAAUUCCUGGUGUAGCGGUGAAAUGCGUAGAGAUCAGGAAGAACACCAGUGGCGAAGGCGCUCUGCUAGGCCGUAACUGACACUGAGGGACGAAAGCUAGGGGAGCGAAAGGG